CAGCUCCAAGUGAACACUCUGCGACGUUACAAGAGACAUUAUAAGUUGCAGACUAGGCCUGGACUCAACAAGGCUCAGCUAGCAGAAAUUUCCUGUGAAGUCUGAGCAGCUUUGACCCUACGCUGGAUCCUCGUCCAGCUCCCAUGCUUGAAUCACUGCUGCCUGAGGCUCUUAGACUCCUGCUGCUACCCCACCACUGUCAGUCGUCACUUCAGGAAUAUUCCUGUGAAUGAGAAAGAGACGCUUGCGUAUUUCAUCUAUAUGGUGAAGAACAACAAGAGCAG